GACGAACGCUGGCGGCGUGCUUAACACAUGCAAGUCGAACGGAAAGGCCCUGCUUUUGUGGGGUUCUCGAUUGGCGAACGGGUGAGUAACACGUGAGUAACCUGCCCUUUACUUUGUUAUAACUUCAGGUAACUGGGGCUAAUACCCGAUAGGAGCUCCUGCUGCAUGGUGGGGGUUGGAAAUUUUCGGCGGUUGGGGAUGGACUCGCGGGUUAUCAGCUUGUUGGUGGGGUAGUGGCUUACCAAGGCUUUGACGGGUAGCCGGAAUGAGAGGGUGACCGGGGACAAUGGGACUGAGAGAGGGAGCAGAGUGGAAGGGGAGGCAGCAGGGGGGAAGAUGGCACAAUGGGCGGAAGCGUGAGGCAGAAACGCCGGGUGCGGGAUGACGGCCUUGGGGUUGUAAACAGCUUUAGCAUGUGACGAAGCGGGAGUGACGGUAAUGGGUAAAGAAGCACCGGCUAACUACGUG
rnacentral:rRNA from 1 species